GUAUAUUGGACAAUGGGGGCAACCCUGAAUCAGCUAUGCCUCGUGUGUGAAUAAGGUCUUCGUAUUGUAAAGCACUUUAUGAUUGGAGGAAUUGCUUUAGGUUAAUACCCUGAUGAUUCUAUGUUACCAAACGAAUAAGCUUCGGAUAAUGCAGUGCCUGCAGCCGCGGUAAGACAGAGGGUGCAAGCGUUAAUCGGAAUUACUGGGCGUAAAGCGCGCGUAGGUGGUUCAGUAAGAUGGGUGUGAAAUCCCCUGGCUUAACCUGGGAACUGCUUUCAUAACUGCGGAGAUAGAGUACGGUAGAGGGUAGUAGAAUUUCCUGUGUAGCAGUGAAAUGAGUAGAUAUAGGAAGGAACACAAGUGGCGAAGGCGAAUACCUGGACUGAUACUGACACUGAGGUGCGAAAGCGUGGGGAGCAAACA
rnacentral:rRNA from 1 species